rnacentral:tRNA from 1 species
AAAUUUUUAAUUUAAAUAAAAAUAUUUCAUUUACAAAGAAAUAAUAAUAAAUUAAUUUAUUAAAAUUUA